GUGUCGGGUAUUCUGUGGAUCACCUAUAGGGGAUAUAUAUCGAACCAGUGCAGAAUGAAGAUAACCCUGAUCCUCCAAACACCCUGAUCCUCCAAACACCCUGAUCCUCCAAACGUCUGAGCGCUAGGCUAAGCUAGUAGACUCGUCAUAGCGGCUGCAGAAGAAAGGAGAAGAAAGAAAAACAGCUACUACAACCUGCACAACUAUGCCUACUGACUUUUUUCCGUAGUGAUUUCUGACGUCGGCUAUGAGAGCGUGAAAAGGCAUCAGGUUCCACGCGCACCAGGUGCUGAUAUUCGGUUGAAUAAUCAAAGAUCGAUACUCGGUGAUCGGACCAAUGUGGGGGCCAGCAGUAGUUAUGGCGAGUUAUUAGUACACACGCUAUUAUCAUACAUGUAUUACAUCUAUUUUAUUGGGCAUUUAAUAAUGAAUAAAAAAAUAAAUAAAAAAUAAAUAAAGACCAUCCAACCCUAACCCCUGUAUACUUUUGUCUUUUCUGUUUUUUAAUGGUUUACGUAUAGUACCUAUCGUGGAUGGUGUGAAACAGUGGACCCCUGGAUCAAACCGUCUAACCAAGAAAAAUAACAAAAGACCCCAUCUAGGAACGGCUCUACCUCUACCCAGCUCUCCGCUAGCAGUGGUGCAACAGCAGAUCCCGUAUAAAAAGGGACGCAAGGACACCGCACAUAGUGUUUUAACUCCAGAGAAUCUUAACUUGGUUCUCCAUGCUGUUAUAAACCCUGAAAUCGCCCGCCAAGGGGGUGGAUGGUCUGAGUCCAAACAGCCGUUGAUUGAGACAUCAGUUGUACCUGUGUCUGAGCCGCCUGCAGAGACCGUUACUGUACAGCCGGAUGGAGGCAUUCAGCAUGUCCUUGGAGACCCUCAGGAUGCACCACUACCAGAACUGACCGAUGAGGA
ensembl:lncRNA